rnacentral:rRNA from 1 species
GAGGUUUGAUUCUGGCUCAGGACGAACGCUGGCGGCGUGCUUAACACAUGCAAGUCGAACGAGAAUCUUAGGCGCUGAUAUUUCGAUUGAAGCAUCUAAGAGGAAAGUGGCGAACGGGUGAGUAACGCGUGAGCAACCUGCCUUACACAACGGGAUAGCCUCGGGAAACCGGGAUUAAUACCGUAUGAGACCCCUAUAACGAGUGUUAAAGAGGUUAAAGAUUUAUCGGUGUAAGAUGGGCUCGCGUCUGAUUAGCUAGUUGGUAGAAUAAAAGCCUACCAAGGCAACGAUCAGUAACCGGCUUGAGAGAGUGAACGGUCACAUUGGAACUGAGACACGGUCCAAACUCCUACGGGAGGCAGCAGUGGGGAAUAUUGCACAAUGGGGGAAACCUUGAUGCAGCGACGCCGCGUGAGCGAAGAAGGAAUUCGUUUCGUAAAGCUCUGUCCUUGGAGAAGAUAAUGACUGUAACCAAGGAGGAAGCACCGGCUAAAUACG